GACGAACGCUGGCGGCGUGCUUAACACAUGCAAGUCGAACGGAAAGGCCAGUGCUUGCACUGGUACUCGAGUGGCGAACGGGUGAGUAACACGUGGGUGAUCUGCCUUGCACUCUGGGAUAAGCUUGGGAAACUGGGUCUAAUACCGGAUAUGAACUGCCUUUAGUGUGGUGGUUGGAAAGUUUUUUCGGUGCAAGAUGAGCUCGCGGCCUAUCAGCUUGUUGGUGGGGUAAUGGCCUACCAAGGCGUCGACGGGUAGCCGGCCUGAGAGGGUGUACGGCCACAUUGGGACUGAGGUAGGGCCCAGACGCCUACGGGAGGCAGCGGUGGGGAAUAUUGCACAAUGGGCGGAAGCCUGAUGCAGCGACGCCGCGUGGGGGAUGACGGCCUUCGGGUUGUAAACUCCUUUCGACAGGGACGAAGCGUAAGUGACGGUACCUGUAGAAGAAGCACCGGCUAACUACGUG
rnacentral:rRNA from 1 species